AAGCAGGGGAUCGUAAGACCUUGCGCUUUUGGAGUGGCCGAUGCCUGAUUAGCUAGUUGGUGGGGUAAGGGCUUACCAAGGCGACGAUCAGUAGUUGGUCUGAGAGGACGACCAGCCACACUGGGACUGAGACACGGCCCAGACUCCUACGGGAGGCAGCAGUGGGGAAUUUUGGACAAUGGGCGGAAGCCUGAUCCAGCAAUGCCGCGUGAGUGAAGAAGGCCUUCGGGUUGUAAAGCUCUUUCAGUCGAGAAGAAAAGGUUGCGACUAAUAAUCGCAACUUAUGACGGUAUCGACAGAAGAAGCACCGGCUAACUACGUGCCAGCAGCCGCGGUAAUACGUAGGGUGCGAGCGUUAAUCGGAAUUACUGGGCGUAAAGGGUGCGCAGGCGGCUCUGUAAGUCAGAUGUGAAAUCCCCGGGCUUAACCUGGGAAUUGCGUUUGAAACUACAAAGCUUAGA
rnacentral:rRNA from 1 species